AACCAUAGGUCUAACCCAAUUAAUGGACCUAAUUCCCACUAACCCAUUAACCCAAUAUGUUAUAAUUUGUGUCUUAGGUUCUUCAAUUCAUAAUCCUAGAACCUAAUCAAACAACUUCUUAAUUCUUAAUUAAGUUUUGGGCUGAGGGUUGGGUUCGGCUUUUCAAAAAAUAAUUUUCAUAUUUGUAAAAUAAUUUUACAAUAUGAUUCUACCAACCAUAUUGCAUGUUUGAUUCAUAAUCAAGAUACAAGUGAAUUAAACAUGAAACUACUUUAGAUCUAAUCUAAACAGGUUCAUGUAAUUGAAAUAAUUUCAACUUUAAACAAUUUCUUUGC
rnacentral:lncRNA from 1 species